ACAAUCAGUUUCGAACAGUAACUGAUUUUGUAUUGUGAAGGAUAGUAAUAAUCGUGAAUCAGGACGGAACGCGUAGGUGGAUUUCAUCUCAAUACAAGAUGUACUCGUGUUCAUCUGGUGGAUGCUGUCUCAUUUGAGUGAAGUUUGUUCAUGAAAAGUUCCACAAUCCCUACCUUCGUAUUAUUUUAUGAGAACAGUACAAAAAUCUAGACAGCGCAAACUGGGUCACUGGCACAACGAACAAAGCCGCCAUAUGGUCCUGUGGAGGCAGUGUUCUUCAAGAAAAGCCACUGUUGGGAAGGGCCUGUUACACACGAGCCAAAAUCUGUGGAAUCAAAUUUUAUAGUUGUUAUAUACCACCGAGUGUUCCGCAAAGCGAUUUUGAAAAGAUACUGGACGAGCUAGUACGCGAUGUCCUGACAACGACGAAGAACAUAAUAGCAGGCGAUUUUAACGCAUGGGCGGUAGAAUGGGGCAGUAUAAGUACCAACAAACGCUUUGCUUAAGGCCUUUUCAGUGCUUGAGGUGGUGCUUCUAAAUACGGGAAACAGAAAUACCUUUGAAAAGAAUGGUCGUGGUUCUGUGAUAGACAUCACGUUUGCCAGCAGUCCAUUGGUGCGAUCAACAUACUGGAAAGUAUCUGAUCUGUAUACGCAUAGUGACCACAUGGCUAUUGCUAUGGUGAUCGGAAAUACCAAGAGCAAAGAACAUACGCAAUUCAGGAAAUUCAGGCGAAAUAGUCAGAGGAGGCGGAUAUCACCAGAGUACACAAACCUGCACGACUGUUUCAAAAAGAAACGACUCGCCCUCAAGAAGGCAAUUAAAAAAGCAAACUCUCCUGCUUCAGAGAGCUCUGCGAAAACGCUGACAAAAACCCGUGGGGCGAUGCUUACAAAGUGGUAAUGACAAAAAUCAAAGAUAAUAAAGGGCAAGCACCUACUUGUCCCGUGUUAUUGAAAAAUGUAGUGGAGACCCUUUUCCCCACUCAAACGAACGAACGACCUCUACUAACAUACACGGCUGCGGUCUUAAACACCCCAGUGGUCACUGAUGAUGAAGUGACGCAAGCUGCAGAAAGGUUUGGAAAUACCAAAACACCAGGUCUAGAUGGAAUUCCCAAUAAGGCACUGAAAAUUGCUAUUAAACACCAAGUGAGCAUCUUUUCAGAGCUUUUUACCCGCUGUUUGCAAGAAGGCGACUUCCCGAAAAUAUGGAAGAGACAGCGAAUAGUUCUUCUGCAGAAGCCAAAUAAACCGGCUGGUUCGUACCGACCUCUCUGCAUGCUGGAUACACUUGGCAAGGCUUUUGAAAGAAUUAUCUAUGUAAGACUAGAGAAUCACUUGGAACAAGAAUACACAGGACUCUCCAAAAACCAAUAUGGUUUCCGUAAGCACAUGUCAACAAUCGAUGCAAUUAAAAAAGUGACCAACGUAGCGAGUAGCGCUAUAGAAGGAAAGAGAUGGAUGUACGGUACAAAAGAAUACUGUGCGGUAGUAACGUUUGACGUUAAGAACGCGUUUAACUCUGCUUACUGACCACAUAUAAUGAGCGCUCUUGAACACAAAAGAACGCCGUGCUAUUUGCUACGAGUGGUCUCUAAAUACUUUUCGAACAGAUUGUUACUCUAUGACACUGACGAGGGACCCAAAGAGUACAGAGUGACGGGUGGCGUAUCGCAGGGUUCGGUUUUAGGUCCCUUGUUGUGGAACGUACUCUAUGACGGAGUGUUGCGACUUCCCCUACCAACGGGAGUCCAAAUUAUAGAAUACGCGGACGAUAUUGCAGAAACCGUCGUAGGAAAGGAGCUGAGUCAAACACAAAGACUAUGUGAAGACGCUGCUUUAAAGAUAAAAAACUGGCUCACGGCAAAUAAGCUCCAAUUAGCAGGACAGAAAACGGAAGCAGUUCUAAUAACAAGUAGAAACAAUUUACCAUCUGCUUCCUUGCGCUUGUUACCAUAGUCACAGCGAAUCCACAAUGGUUAAUAACACACUCUUAUGCUGCUCCACUUACUGCUGUUGCCACACCAUCGGUGGCUUUGACUGCACUCUCGUAUGUUGAAC